GUUGUAGGGAUGAUGAUACUUUUAAUUUUUACAGUUAUCCCUGUCUGAUGGAUGAACUUGUGCUGAUACAUUAGUGUCUGACUCGAGC